UGGGGGAUAUUGCACAAUGGGCGAAAGCCUGAUGCAGCGACGCCGCGUGGGGGAUGAAGGCUUUCGGGUUGUAAACCUCUUUCGCUAUCGAACAAGGCCCGCUUAGGGUGGGUUGAGGGUAGGUGGAGAAGAAGCGCCGGCUAACUACGUGCCAGCAGCCGCGGUAAUACGUAGGGCGCGAGCGUUGUCCGGAAUUAUUGGGCGUAAAGGGCUUGUAGGCGGCUUGUUGCGCCUGCUGUGAAAACGCGGGGCUUAACUUCGCGCGUGCAGUGGGUACGGGCAGGCUUGAGUGUGGUAGGGGUGACUGGAAUUCCAGGUGUAGCGGUGGAAUGCGCAGAUAUCUGGAGGAACACCGAUGGCGAAGGCAGGUCACUGGGCCAUUACUGACGGUGAGGAGCGAAAGCAUGGGUAGCGAACAGG
rnacentral:rRNA from 1 species